ACCCUUAUCGUCAUAAAGGAAUGGCGCAUUAGAAAAAGAAUAAUUGUAUUUUUAUACCACUCCAGGUGGCGUUUUACAUAUAAACAUUACUCAAUGGACUACGAAGGAGACUUUACAAUUAAUAACAAAUCUUUCAGCUCAAGACAGACAGUGUAUAUUUAAAUUGGACAUCAUUUGAAAUGGGCUGGACUCCGGCCUAAGGGGCGUUCCUGAUGCUCAUUACGUGAUGUAGAAAAAGAAGCCACAACUAUCAGGAAAGAAUGUCCGGCCUCAAUCGUGAAAGGGCAACAGAACUUACCAAUCAUUCACAGAUAGCCAAAAAUUGUGUCACUCAUCAUGCUUCCUGCAAACAAUCUGGAUAUGAAAAUAUAGUGUAUAUAUAUAUAUAUAUAUAUAGGCCUAUCACAACUUGAUUUCAGUGCUUGAAAAUAAAUAUCAAAUGGAAUUGUGCAUUUCUUCUCAUCUUAUUUAAUGUCUAUGUUCACUGUAAUACAU